rnacentral:rRNA from 1 species
UUAAGUUAGUAAGGGCGCACGGUGGAUGCCUUGGCACUAGGAGCCGAAGAAGGACGUGACAAACGACGAAAUGCCUUGGGGAGCUGUAAGUAAGCGUAGAUCCAGGGAUGUCCGAAUGGGGGAACCCAACAGGUAGAUGCCUGUUACCCGUAUCUGUUAAGGAUAUGAGGAGGAAGACGCAGUGAACUGAAACAUCUAAGUAGCUGCAGGAAGAGAAAGCAAAAGCGAUUGCCUUAGUAGCGGCGAGCGAAACGGCAAGAGGGCAAACCGAAGAGUUUACUCUUCGGGGUUGUAGGACUGCAACGUGGACUUAAAGAUUAUAGAAGAACUACCUGGGAAGGUAGGCCAAAGAGAGUAAUAGCCUCGUAUUCGAAAUAGUCUUUAUACCUAGCAGUAUCCUGAGUACGGCGAGACACGAGAAAUCUCGUCGGAAUCUGGGAGGACCAUCUCCCAACCCUAAAUACUCUCUAGUGACCGAUAGUGAACCAGUACCGUGAGGGAAAGGUGAAAAGCACCCCGGGAGGGGAGUGAAAUAGAACCUGAAACCGUGUGCCUACAACAAGUUCGAGCCCGUUAAUGGGUGAGAGCGUGCCUUUUGUAGAAUGAACCGGCGAGUUACGAUAUGAUGCGAGGUUAAGUUGAAGAGACGGAGCCGUAGGGAAACCGAGUCUUAAUAGGGCGCAUUAGUAUCAUGUCGUAGACCCGAAACCAUGUGACCUACCCAUGAGCAGGUUGAAGGUGAGGUAAAACUCACUGGAGGACCGAACCAGGGCACGUUGAAAAGUGCUUGGAUGACUUGUGGGUAGCGGAGAAAUUCCAAACGAACUUGGAGAUAGCUGGUUCUCUCCGAAAUAGCUUUAGGGCUAGCGUCGAUGUUAAGUCUCUUGGAGGUAGAGCACUGUUUGGGUGAGGGGUCCAUCCCGGAUUACCAAUCUCAGAUAAACUCCGAAUGCCAAUGAAUUAUGGUCGGCAGUCAGACUGCGAGUGCUAAGAUCCGUAGUCGAAAGGGAAACAGCCCAGACCACCAGCUAAGGUCCCAAAAUAUAUGUUAAGUGGAAAAGGAUGUGGGGUUGCACAGACAACUAGGAUGUUAGCUUAGAAGCAGCUAUUCAUUCAAAGAGUGCGUAAUAGCUCACUAGUCGAGUGACCCUGCGCCGAAAAUGUACCGGGGCUAAAACAUAUUACCGAAGCUGUGGAUACCUUUAUAGGUAUGGUAGGAGAGCGUUCUAUGUGCGAAGAAGGUGUACCGUGAGGAGUGCUGGAGCGCAUAGAAGUGAGAAUGCCGGUAUGAGUAGCGAAAGACAGGUGAGAAUCCUGUCCACCGUAAGACUAAGGUUUCCAGGGGAAGGCUCGUCCGCCCUGGGUUAGUCGGGACCUAAGGAGAGACCGAAAGGUGUAUCCGAUGGACAACAGGUUGAUAUUCCUGUACUAGAGUAUAUAGUGAUGGAGGGACGCAGUAGGCUAACUAAACCAGACGAUUGGAAGUGUCUGGCCAAGCAGUGAGGUGUGAUAUGAGUCAAAUGCUUAUAUCUCUAACAUUGAGCUGUGAUGGGGAGCGAAGUUUAGUAGCGAAGUUAGUGAUGUCACACUGCCGAGAAAAGCUUCUAGCGUUAAUUAUACUCUACCCGUACCGCAAACCGACACAGGUAGUCGAGGCGAGUAGCCUCAGGUGAGCGAGAGAACUCUCGUUAAGGAACUCGGCAAAAUGACCCCGUAACUUCGGGAGAAGGGGUGCUGACUUUCAGUCAGCCGCAGUGAAUAGGCCCAAGCAACUGUUUAUCAAAAACACAGCUCUCUGCUAAAUCGUAAGAUGAUGUAUAGGGGGUGACGCCUGCCCGGUGCUGGAAGGUUAAGAGGAGUGCUUAGCGUAAGCGAAGGUAUGAAUUGAAGCCCCAGUAAACGGCGGCCGUAACUAUAACGGUCCUAAGGUAGCGAAAUUCCUUGUCGGGUAAGUUCCGACCCGCACGAAAGGCGUAAUGAUUUGGGCACUGUCUCAACGAGAGACUCGGUGAAAUUUUAGUACCUGUGAAGAUGCAGGUUACCCGCGACAGGACGGAAAGACCCCAUGGAGCUUUACUGCAGUUUGAUAUUGAGUAUCUGUACCACAUGUACAGGAUAGGUAGGAGCCUAUGACCUCGGGACGCCAGUUUCGAGUGAGGCGUUGUUGGGAUACUACCCUUGUGUUAUGGCUACUCUAACCCAGAUAGGUUAUCCCUAUCGGAGACAGUGUCUGACGGGCAGUUUGACUGGGGCGGUCGCCUCCUAAAAGGUAACGGAGGCGCCCAAAGGUUCCCUCAGAAUGGUUGGAAAUCAUUCGCAGAGUGUAAAGGUAUAAGGGAGCUUGACUGCGAGAGCUACAACUCGAGCAGGGACGAAAGUCGGGCUUAGUGAUCCGGUGGUUCCGUAUGGAAGGGCCAUCGCUCAACGGAUAAAAGCUACCCUGGGGAUAACAGGCUUAUCUCCCCCAAGAGUUCACAUCGACGGGGAGGUUUGGCACCUCGAUGUCGGCUCAUCGCAUCCUGGGGCUGAAUUCGGUCCCAAGGGUUUGGCUGUUCGCCAAUUAAAGCGGCACGCGAGCUGGGUUCAGAACGUCGUGAGACAGUUCGGUCCCUAUCCGUCGCGGGCGUAGGAAAUUUGAGAGGAUCUGCUCCUAGUACGAGAGGACCAGAGUGGACUUACCGCUGGUGUACCAGUUGUUCUGCCAAGAGCAUCGCUGGGUAGCUAUGUAGGGAAGGGAUAAACGCUGAAAGCAUCUAAGUGUGAAACCCACCUCAAGAUGAGAUUUCCCAUGAUUUUAUAUCAGUAAGAGCCCUGAGAGAUGAUCAGGUUGAUAGGUUAGAAGUGGAAGUGUGGUGACACAUGUAGCGGACUAAUACUAAUAGCUCGAGGACUUAUCCAA